rnacentral:rRNA from 1 species
GAUGCCUUAAACAUGCUGUGUGAACGAGUGAUUUGCACUUAGUGGCCAAGGGGUGAGUAACACGUAUCCAACAUACCCUUUAGUGAGGGAUAACUAGUUGAAAAACUAGCUAAUACCGCAUAAGAUAUCAUUAUCGCAUGAGAAGAUAUUUAAAGAUGCUUUCAAGCAUCGUUUUAGGAUUGGGGUGCCGUGUAUUAGAUAGUUGGUGGGGUAAUGGCCCACCAAGUCAAUGAUGCAUAGCUGUGCUGAGAGGCAGAACAGCCACAAUGGGACUGAGACACGGCCCAUACUUCUACGGAAGGCAGCAGUAGGGAAUUUUCCACAAUGGGCGAAAGCCUGAUGGAGCAAUCCUGCGUGAAUGAUGAAGGUCUUAUAUAGAUUGGAAAAUUCUUUUAUUGGAGACGAAUUACAAGAGGAGGAAAUGCCUUUUGUUUGACUGUAUCCAUUGAAUAAGUAUCGGCUAACUAUGUGCCAUCAGCCGCGGUAAUACAUAGGAUGCAAGCGUUAUCCGGAUUAACUGGGCGUAAAGCGAGCGCAGGCGGAGUUACAAGUCUGGUGUUAAAUGCAAUUGCUGAACGAUUGUAUGCAUCAGAAACUGUAUUCUAGAGUAUAGUAGGGAGUUUUGGAACUCCAUGUGGAGCGGUGGAAUGCGUACAUAUAUGGAAGAACACCAGUGGGCGAAGGCGAAAACUUAGGCUAUUACUGACGCUUAGGCUCGAAAGUGUUGGGGAGCAAAUAGGAUUAGAUACCCUAGUACUCCACACCGUAAACGAUGGUAAAUUAAAUGUCGGCACGGAGUGUGUCGGUAAUUGCCACUAACGAAUUAAAUUACGCCGCCUUGGUAGUACUUACGCAAUAAUGAAACUCGAACGGAAUUGGACGGGGACCCGCCCAAGUGGUGGAGCAUGUUGGUUUAAUUCAACACUACGCGCUAAUCCUUACCUGGAUUUGACUUCCUUAGUAUAGCUUAAGAAAUA